CAGGAGCUGCUUGCUCAUCCAUGGAGGUUUACAACCACCUCUGCUCCAUUUGCUGCUCCUCAGGAUGGACCACUCUUGAGCUUGGAGGAGCUGAUCCUUGGAGAUCAUCCAGCUCUUCUGGACCUCUCUUCUCUCUACGACAGUCUCCAUGCUGGAAUAGAAUCCAGUUUCAGAUGGAUGGAAUUUGAAUGGAUUUGGAUGGAAUUCCGAAGCAACUGUCAGAGCUACUGUAAACCUUAAUUAAGCUUCCCCUGAUCAGCUUGGAGAGGGCUGGACAAAAGCUGCUGUCGAGGCUUGGAUUUCACUUGAAUCCACUGCUUUGUGUGAUUUUCUGUCUGGAUGAAGGGAGGAUGUUGGAUCUGUUGGGCAGCAGUCGUAUUCUUUUCAGCAGAUGCCUGAAGCAGUGAUGGCCCAAAAGGGAGAUGCUCUGUGUGUGGAGUAAACCAGACUCUGCUUAUGACUUCCCCAGUUACCUAGCUCCUGACAUGGUGUUAGUCACACCAUCCUACAGCUUUCCCAAACACCAGGCAGCAAAUCUGAUCACCUUUAUGUAUCUACAGUGUGCUAAAGACAAAAAUCCCAAAGCACAAAAGUGUUUUACAUUGAUGUCUGGAUGCCCUCCUCAUCCCUACUUAUUGUAUGAGCAACAAGGUGGGAAUACAGCACACUGUGGCACCAGGAACUCAGCAUUCACUCAGGAAUUUAUGGAUCACUCUGGGAGAUUAAGUCACCUCUUUCUGGAUAAAUGUACUCUGAAGAUGU